rnacentral:rRNA from 1 species
CAAUAGCGUAUAUUAAAGUUGUUGCGGUAAAAAAGCUCGUAGUUGGAUUUCUACCGAAGAUAGCCGGUCGGGUCUUCGACCUUGUAUCUGGUUUUGUCUUUGGUAUCCUCAUAGGGAACGUUGCUGCGCUUCACUGCGUGGUGCGGUAUCUACGACUUUUACUUUGAGGAAAUUAGAGUGUUCACGGCAGGCAAUCGCCUUGAAUAUAUUAGCAUGGAAUAAUAACAUAGGAUCUUUGUCCUAUUUUGUUGGUUUCUAGGGCUGAGAUAAUGAUUAAUAGGGAUAAUUGGGGGCAUCUGUAUCAACGCGUCAGAGGUGGAAUUCUUGGAUUGCGUUGCGACAAACUACUGCGAAAGCAUUUGCCAAGGAUGUUUUCAUUGA